UUUUAUUGAUAGUAUAGGUGCUGAUAUUGUUUUUUUACAUUAACUUCGUUAUAUGUGUGUACAUGUGUAUAAUCGUUGUUGUGUAUGUAUUUGUUUUGGUGUACACACAUCUUCAUCUGCUCAGCCAACCCCCAAAUGUUACUCUGUUUUUUCUAUGUUUGUAAUGUUGAUACUCUUAACCAUAACAAAACAAAAGCUUGUAAGUUUGGGAGAAAAAUAGAACAGACUUCUUCACAAAUAAAAAUAUUGGGUCAAAAACAAAUUAUACAAAAGAUGAGGGACCAGAUUUUCAAAAAUGCCAAAGUUGGCCAUUGUUGCUUUCGAGCUUCUCACAGGUGGUGGCUGUGACAAAAAGAGGCAAACCGACGACAAUUCCGGAGCUUCAGAACCAGUGCCACAACUUUGAAUCACGUUUUAGAGUUCGAGGUGUAUCCAUUGAGCGAGAAAGCUUGUGUACGUCAUUAUUAUACCACCAUCAGAGAUAUAGCUUGACAUAUUUCAAAAGAAAGUUUGGAUAAUAAAGAUAUUGAUUAUAAACAUGUUUUCUGAAAAAAUGUUCCCGAAAAACAACAUUCAUUUUACAAAAAAAAAUAAAGAACUCAACUGAAAGAAACGAAGGAAAAGAUAUAUGAGACCCACUUUAGUUACAAACUCACUAGCUCGUUUAGAAUAAAAGGAAGUUGUUAAUGGAAACUGUCUUGGUAGCAUAAACCGGUCCAUUAUGUAAUAAUAAACUAAAAACUGCAUUGUGGUGUAAUUCUUUCACUAUUUGAUCACAGGCAAACAAGGUCUUGGAUCGUGUGAACAAUCUUGUCUGCAAAAAGCUUAAUUGAUUGAUAAGCUUAAUUAUUAGGUUUCCGUGGAAAAGUUUAGCACAUUAAUGCUAGUGAAAUCAAUCAAUUUUCCGUGCAUACUGAUUUAUGCUGACAAAUGUUUAGUUUUUGACUAUUGGAUAAAAAUCACAAGUUGAUAGCACACUACAGAACAAUUUGAUUUUUUUUUCCACUUUAGGUAACGAGUUGACAAACAUUGACAAGUUGACCAGAGCUGUGCUCACCCUGAAGUAAAAAAGGCAUUCGUCUAGGGCCCCUUAAUAAUGUAAAUUUUUUUAGGGUUCCUAAACUCUAAUUUUUUUUUGUAUCUAGUAAAUAUUAAUUAGAUUUUUAUCAGAUUUCAAAUUCUUUUUUUUGUUUGAAACUUUUUUUUGUUAAAAUCUGUUUUAGUUAAAAUCUUAGAAACUUUAAUUAUUUUUUUAAAAUCAUCAACUUCUAAGUUCUAACCCAUGCAAAUUAGGAUGAUUUGAUGAAAAAAAUCACAGAAAUAAAAAUUGAAACAACUUUUGUUGACUUUUAAGGUUUUAUCUAUUAUUAUCUGGUUAUAUAUAUAUAUAUAUAUAUUAUUUUUUUUGUAUCAUUUUCUGAAUAUAAGUAAAUGUAAAAAUAUGUAAAAGUAUUAUAUAGUAACUAAGUUUUAGAGACUUUAAUAUUCUUAAAAGUAUCAUCAUUUUAACACACAAUUUUAACCUUCAUUUUUAUGUUACUAAUUUAAUAUUUUACAUCACAUUUUAUACACAUUUUAUAUACUAUGAUAAUUUGGAAAAAAUUAUUAAAGAACCAAAAUAAAUUAAUCAAAAAUUUUACAUUCUAAACUUUGUGUAUCAUUUUUUAUUUUCUAAUUUUUAAUCCAUAUGGAAAAAAUAAGUUAUUUUUGAAUUAUUUUAUUUUAAAUAUAAUACACAUAAAAUUAUAUAAACAAAAAUAUAAUUUCGCCUAAGGCCCCUGUAUCUCUUGGCACGACACUGAAUUUGACAUGUACAUUUUCCAGUGGUUCGGUUUCUGGUCAUAUCAUCUUCACAUAUCUUCACAUAUAUAUAUAUAUAUAUUGCUUCACUCUUGUUCGUCCACGUCAGCGCCAGGUCAGAAAGUCGAGGUUUGUAGUGCCGACACGUCUUCCGUCCAUACGAACGCAUCACUUCAUUUAUUCUUAAUAUUUGUUGGGCUUUUAAGGUUAAGCUUAUAUAUUCAGUGUUUUUGGACUGAUAAAUUCGUAUGGUUAAGUUGGGCCGAUGGCCCAUGAACAGAAACCUAAAUCUGAUGAAGCAAAAAGUCUGUGUGCCGAUUCCAUUAGAGAGACUGAGAUGCAGAAGUCUGUGUGCCGAUUCCAUUGGUUGGGUUUCGAUCAGUCUUUUCGACUUCUUUCCAUCCAUCUAAAUGAGAUAGCUUCUGGAUCCAUCGCAGUAAACAAGAUACUACGUUUCUCAAAACAAUGGAAUUCAACAUCAACAAAACUGUCACAGCAUGGGAAGAAAUGUUUAAUUGAAGAAUGAAUUUGAAACAGAUUGCAUUAUAAAGAAACAAUAUUUCAGGUUCAAAGAGUUGGUCAACAUCAUAAUGCACUAUCCUCAAGGGAAUCAUGGAAUUUAUAAAGAUGGAAGGCCUAUAUAUAUCAAGAGCCUAGGACAAGUCAUCCCGGUCGAUGUCCACACAUCAAAAGUGUCAAGGUUAGAUAUGUGGUUCCGACUGGAGCUUUGGUUGGUAUCUACGAGGAUCUUGAGCUCAGGGAUGGGGGAUCAAACUACCUUGGGAAGUGUGUCUCUAAAGUGAGAAACUACAUUGUCCGUGAGAGAAGUAUUAUCCGAUUUGUUUCCUAUUUUUUUUUCUGUUGAUGUCGGCUGUUGGCAAUGUGAACUCGAUCAUUGGCCCAGCGUUAAUCUUUCCUUGAUUUAUGUUUAGUGCUACAAAUUUGUUUCUAAAGCUGUUUUUUCACAUUCAUGUGUUUUUUUGUUCUUGCAGGAUCCAAGAUCCAACUCAGCAGACUGAUAUUGACAACUUCAUGGUCCCUGGAGUGAUGGAACCCAAAACGAGCUGGGUUGGUGAAAUCAAAAGAUGAUUCAAGAGAAAUUCAUGUUUUAUGUAUUUACUCAAUAAUGAAAGAUGAUUCUGACCAUCUUGGUUCUUCUUUUUGUAUACAGCUUGUAGCCAAUUGUAUCCUUUCUGUGUGCAAAGCUGGGGUCAUUGACUCAUUGUCUAUGGCAUUCUCUCUACAAAGCGAAGGUAGGAGAGCAAAAGGUAAAAAUAAAUUAGAUGAUAGGGUAAUGUUCGGCACCAACAAAGAUGAGGGAAAAAGGCAAACAAUAAAAAGAAUUAAUGAUUACAUUUUUUACGUUUUUUAUGGUAAGAUAGUUUUGUAAAUUUUAACAAAAAGGGAAAAUAGUAGAGUUGGUAUAACUAUAGAUAAAUUUCUGAUUUGUAAAUUUCUAUAUUUUGGCUUAUUGCAACAGUCACUCUAUUCUAAGGGAUGUGGUACAUUAGCAUGUU